rnacentral:rRNA from 1 species
CCUACGGGUGGCAGCAGUGAGGAAUAUUGGUCAAUGGACGAGAGCCUGAACCAGCCAAAUAGCGUGAAGGAUGACUGCCCUAUGGGUUGUAAACUUCUUUUAUAUGGGAAUAAAAUGUUCCACGUGUGGGAUUUUGUAUGUACCAUAUGAAUAAGGAUCGGCUAACUCCGUGCCAGCAGCCGCGGUAAUACGGAGGAUCCGAGCGUUAUCCGGAUUUAUUGGGUUUAAAGGGAGCGUAGGUGGCUUGUUAAGUCAGUUGUGAAAGUUUGCGGCUCAACCGUAAAAUUGCAGUUGAAACUGGCAGUCUUGAGUACAGUAGAGGUGGGCGGAAUUCGUGGUGUAGCGGUGAAAUGCUUAGAUAUCACGAAGAACUCCGAUUGCGAAGGCAGCUCACUGGACUGCAACUGACACUGAGGCUCGAAAGUGUGGGUAUCAAACAGGAUUAGAUACCCGGGUAGUC